AACGCACAUUGCGCCCUUUGGUAUUCCGAAGGGCAUGCCUGUUCGAGCGUCAUUAUCACAGCUCAAACCCCUGGGUUUGGUGUUGGACCGAUGUUGGGUCGACCAACUGGUCUCAAAGACAAUGACGGCGUCCGUGGGACCCUCAGUGCAACGAGCUUUUACAAGCACGCAUUGAGUUGCAAGGACCCUCCGGGCCGGUCUACUAUUACAUUUUUCUGAAAGUUGACCUCGGAUCAGGUAGGAAUACCCGCUGAACUUAA
rnacentral:misc_RNA from 1 species